UGGUGGUUCAAGCAUUCCCGAAAUUGACCCAUACUUCUUCUAGUCAAACAUGUAAGUGCCUAAGAAGGUCCAUAAAGUUUAGUGUCAAACUGAACUUUGCUGUUCAAUUUACAAACGUCAAACCAGAAAAGCUGCAUUCAAGCAAAAACUCUUUCUGAUUUGAGACAAAUAUGAAUAUGUCCCAAAUGAAAGAAAGACGUAGCCACUA
rnacentral:misc_RNA from 1 species